CAGUAGUCUAGGUUUUCAUAAGGUAAAUAUCGUCAAAGGAAAGAGGGAUUGUAUAGCUGAGGGUAGGGGAAUGAGUGUAGAUAUUCAGUGCCAGUAAAAAGAAAAACUAAGUAGUCUGAGUUUUCAUAAGGUAAAUAUCGUCAAAGGAAAGAUUGUAGAGCUGAAUAUAGGGGAGCGUUUGUAGAUAUUCAGUGCCUGUAAAAAGAGAAGUGAAGUAGUCUAGGUUUUCAUAAGGUAAAUAUCAUCAAAGGAAAGAUUGUAGAGCUGAAUAUAGGGGAGCAUUUGUAGAUAUUCAGUGCCAGUAAAAAGAGAAGUGAAGUAGUCUAGGUUUUCAUAAGGUAAAUAUCAUCAAAGGAAAGAUUGUAGAGCUGAAUAUAGGAGAGCAUUUGUAGAUAUUCAGUGCCUGUAAAAAGAGAAGUGAAGUAGUCUAGGUUUUCACAAGGUAAAUAUCAUCAAAGAAAAGACUGUAGAGCUGAAUAUAGGGGAGCAUUUGUAGAUAUUCAGUGCCAGUAAAAAGAGAAGUGAAGUAGUCUAGGUUUUCACAAGGUAAAGAACGUCA